rnacentral:lncRNA from 15 species
UAACCUCAGCGUUCCUGGAUACUUCAUCACAGCUGAAGUGUACUCUUCACCAGGCCGGUGGCACUAACAAGACCAAACACAAGGCCAAUUGAAAGUUGUCCAAGGACGAUAACUCUGUAUAAAACCGAGGUCUAAUUUUCUUUAUGGCUUCAGAGAUCACAGAA